AGGUACUGUAUUUGUGUCGAUACUGUAAUGGACCAGCAGCACACAGAGCACUUGUUAUGAUCUUCCAGUGCCAGCAAGCUUUGGGGAUCCUCUGUUCAGCCCUCUGAUUAAAAAAUGUGAGAAACUGAAGAAGAACUGUGAAAUGACACAAAUCUCCCUGCAAGUCAAUGGUGGAGCUCUUUGGGGAAGAAGCCUUUUCCGUGUCUGGAGUUUUUCUGGCUCCUGGCCACUGCCUCAGUACAACUAAAGAAUAACUGUGUCUGGACUUCCC